UACGGAGGGUGCAAGCGUUAUCCGGAUUCACUGGGUUUAAAGGGUGCGUAGGUGGUUCUGUAAGUCAGUGGUGAAAUCUUCGAGCUUAACUCGGAAACUGCCAUUGAUACUAUAGAUCUUGAAUUUUCUGGAGGUAAGCGGAAUAUGUCAUGUAGCGGUGAAAUGCUUAGAUAUGACAUAGAACACCAAUUGCGAAGGCAGCUUACUACGGGAAUAUUGACACUGAGGCACGAAAGCGUGGGGAUCAAACAGG
rnacentral:rRNA from 1 species